rnacentral:rRNA from 1 species
GAUGAACGCUGGCGGCGUGCCUAAUACAUGCAAGUCGAGCGAACAGACGAGGAGCUUGCUCCUCUGACGUUAGCGGCGGACGGGUGAGUAACACGUGGAUAACCUACCUAUAAGACUGGGAUAACUUCGGGAAACCGGAGCUAAUACCGGAUAACAUGUUGAACCGCAUGGUUCAACAGUGAAAGACGGUUUUGCUGUCACUUAUAGAUGGAUCCGCGUCGCAUUAGCUAGUUGGUAAGGUAACGGCUUACCAAGGCAACGAUGCGUAGCUGACCUGAGAGGGUGAUCGGCCACACUGGAACUGAGACACGGUCCAGACUCCUACGGGAGGCAGCAGUAGGGAAUCUUCCGCAAUGGGCGAAAGCCUGACGGAGCAACGCCGCGUGAGUGAAGAAGGUCUUCGGAUCGUAAAACUCUGUUAUUAGGGAAGAACAAAUGUGUAAGUAACUAUGCACGUCUUGACGGUACCUAAUCAGAAAGCCACGGCUAACUACGUG